rnacentral:rRNA from 1 species
CCUACGGGGGGCUGCAGUGGGGAAUAUUGGACAAUGGGGGGAACCCUGAUCCAGCCACGCCGCGUGUGUGAAGAAGGCCCUCGGGUUGUAAAGCACUUUCAGUGAGGAAGAACGCCUGGUGGUUAAUACCCAUCAGGAAAGACAUCACUCACAGAAGAAGCACCGGCUAACUCCGUGCCAGCAGCCGCGGUAAUACGGAGGGUGCGAGCGUUAAUCGGAAUUACUGGGCGUAAAGCGCGCGUAGGUGGCUUGAUAAGCCGGUUGUGAAAGCCCCGGGCUCAACCUGGGAACGGCAUCCGGAACUGUCAAGCUAGAGUGCAGGAGAGGAAGGUAGAAUUCCCGGUGUAGCGGUGAAAUGCGUAGAGAUCGGGAGGAAUACCAGUGGCGAAGGCGGCCUUCUGGACUGACACUGACACUGAGGUGCGAAAGCGUGGGUAGCAAACAGGAUUAGAUACCCUAGUAGUC